rnacentral:lncRNA from 1 species
GCUUGGCCUUUUCUUGUUCUUGGAGGUUGGCUCUGAUGUUUCAGCCUCUUCUGGAGCUUCCAGCUGCUGGUUCUCUGGCCACUCCUGCUGGUUCUCUGGCCACUCCUGCUGGUUCUCUGGCCACUCCUGCUGGUUCUCUGGCCCCUCCUGCUGGUUCUCUGGCCACUCCUGCUGGUUCUCUGGCCACUCCUGCUGGUUCUCUGGCCACUCCUGCUGGUUCUCUGAACUCCACUCCUGCUGGUUCUCUGAACUCCACUCCUGCUGGUUCUCUGAACUCCACUCCUGCUGGUUCUCUGGCCACUCCUGCUGGUUCUCUGAACUCCACUCCUGCUGGUUCUCUGAACUCCACUCCUGCUGGUUCUCUGGCCACUCCUGCUGGUUCUCUGAACUCCACUCCUGCUGGUUCUCUGGCCACUCCUGCUGGUUCUCUGAACUCCACUCCUGCUGGUUCUCUGAACUCCACUCCUGCUGGUUCUCUGGCCACUCCUGCUGGUUCUCUGGCCACUCCUGCUGGUUCUCUGGCCACUCCUGCUGGUUCUCUGGCCACUCCUGCUGGUUCUCUGGCCACUCCUGCUGGUUCUCUGAACUCCACUCCUGCUGGUUCUCUGAACUCCACUCCUGGUUCUCUGCCCAUGCCUGCUGCCUCCUUGGCCCCUCCUGCUGGCCAUCUCCAGAUCCAACAGGCUCUUGGCUUACCUGUUGGCCUGUGGCCCAUCCCGGCAAUGCCUGACCGUGGUUGGAAUCGUGGCUGUGUUGGGUGGUUGGACACCGGGUGUUGAUUUGAGCAUCAGCCUCCAGAUUCAUCUGCUCCAGUCUGAACAUUUCUUUCUGUCUGGCAAUUCCAAUCUCUCGUUUUUUAUCCUGCUCCUCUUGUUGUCUUGCCCUCUCCUGUUUUCUUUCCAUCUCCAGCCGUCUUUCCUCCUUCUCCCUCCUGAUUUGUUGUCCUCUUUCUAUGUGUUCUCGUUCCCCCUUCAACACUUCUAACCUCCUCUCUUUACGUCUAUUGAAGACUUCCCGUGCUUUAGCUUUAACAUUAACUACUACAUCUUUCUUCAUGCUUACUUCCUUUCCUCUCUCUUCUCUUUCCAUGUACUCUUCCUCUGCUUUCUUAAUAAUCACUUCCUGCUUUUCUUCCAUCUCUCUCUCCUGUUCUAUCUCCAGUUCAUUCUGCCCCUCAUUUCUUCUUCCUGCUUCCUCCCUCUCUCUCAUAAUCAUAUUUUCUUUCUCCAUCUUUUUCUGUUGCUGAUCUUUUAAUUCCAUCUCUCCCUGAUUCUCAUUGUCUUUCUCCCUUUCUUUCUCUUUCUCCAUUUGUUUCUGUCGCUCCUCUUGUUGUCGUCUGUGUAUCUCUUCUAUCUUUCUCUGUAUCUUGUUCUCCCUCUCUCUUCCCUCCUUCUCCAUGUCAAUUUGCUUCUGUUUCCAUAUAUCUUCUUCUUCUGAUCUCUCUCAAACUUUCUCUUUCUCUCCUCUUGUUGUUGUCGUCUCUCUUUCUCUCCCAUCUCUCUCUGUCUCUCUUUCUCAUCGACUUAUUUCUCUCUGUCUCUCUUGCUCUCUUUCCAUACUUUUCUGUCUCUUCUCCAUUCUCUUUCUUUUGAUCUGUCUCUGUCUCUCUUUCUCCCUCUCUCGUUCUUUCUCUUUCAUCUCUAUUUGCUUCUGUUUGUGUCUCUCCUCUUCUUCUUCUUCUCUCUCCAUCUCCUUCUUCUUCUCAUCUUCUUGUUGUCUCUGUUUUGGUAUUUUCUCCAUUCUCUUUCUUUCUACAUCUUUCUGUUUGUUGUUCUCACCCUCCAUCUUCUCCUCCAUGUCCAUUUGGUUCUGUUUCCAUAGAUUUUUGUCUGUUUCCAUAUUUUCUAAUUCUAUCAGCUGUUCCUUGAUUUUCUUGAAGACUUCCUCCAAUUCAGACGUCUUUUUGUCAUUGAUGAGGGCUGUCUCCAUCUGCAUCUCUCUCUCCACUCUAUUUUUCAUCUCCUCUUCUCUUCGUCUCCAAUCAUUUUCUCUCUCUCUGUCUCUAUCAAAUGUUCUCUCUGGUUCAGUCUCAUCUUUCAAUCUAAUCUCUUCUUUCAUUCUCGCAACCUCUCUGUCUAACACUAGUACAUUUUGGUUAACCUGUUUCACUCUCUCAUUCUGUCUUCUAUACGCUUCUUUCGCUCUUUCAAAUUUGAUUUUGUAUUGCAUUUCUUUUGUUGUCAUAUCUUCUUUCAGUCUCUCAACCUCUCUCUCUAACUCUUUUGCCUUUUCGUUAACCAGUUUGACUUUCUCAUUCUCUGCAAUACGCAUGUCUCUUCCUCUUUCAAAUAUUAUCUCCUUUUCAAUCUCUUUCAAUCUCUCAAUCUCUCGUUCUAACGCUUUUAUCGUUUCUUCUGCCUGUUUCACUUUCUUCUUCAUUUCUUGUCUUUCCAAUUCUGCUUUUCUCUCCCUUUCCAUCUCCCUUUCUCUCUCUUUUUCCCUCUCUCUUUCCCUCUCUCUUUCUGUCUCAAUAGGUUUGUUGUUCCAGGCCAGUCUUGGUCGCUGAUCCUCCAUGACUUUCUGCCAUAGCCUCAAUCUCUCUAUCUCUUGCUUCAUUUUAAAAGGUGAAAUUAGUGAUAAUCUAUGACCAAGACAUACUUUCAAAGGAUUUGCAGAGAAUGAUACAUAGAAAUACAACCUAGACCUAGGUAAUUGAAUCAAACACUGGACAACAUCAAUAGCAGGGUUAUUUUGAUCAAUUCAUCUGGACAAUUCAUUGUCAAUUAAUGUAUUGACAUGUUUGAAAGAAUUAUGAGACAUUUUAUGGACAAAUACAAACACACAACUAGCUUGCCCAUUCAGUUAGGGGUUUGAGAAAUUCCCGUUGCAAUUUGUGUGAUGUUACAACAAUGUUACCUCUGAUGUUUAUGCUUGUAGAAAUUACUCCUACAAAUGAUGUUUCACUAAUGCAAUUAUUUACAACCUGCACACAUACAGUUAUCAACAACAACAACAGUAAUGAUGUUAAUAAGGAAGUGGAUAUUCAACCGGCAGAAGAAAGGCAUAGGGGUUGAGAUAAAUGAAGGUUAGGUUCAGGACCUAGAGUUGGGUUAAGGUAAAGGUUAGGUAUAGUUUCAGUGAGGUCAAGGUAAGGGUUAACGUUAAGGAAAGGCAUAAAAGUUAACAUUUGGUUAGCGUACCGCUGUCCGCCACGAUUCAUUGCCUUUUAAUAAUAACAAUGACAUGUCUUACGUGGGCCAGUUGUAGAUCCACCAUCAGUAGCUCCAGCAGAUGUUUGAGGCUCUUGAUCUCCUGCAUUUUUCUGUUGUUCUCCUUCGCUUCUGUGACUCUCUGUGCCUCCCUUUCU